GAUUCGCCCUUGUGCCAGCAGCCGCGGUAAUUCAGAGGUCCCGAGCGUUGUUCGGAUUUACUGGGCGUAAAGGGAGCGUAGGCGGUUCGGUAUGUCGAAUGUGAAAGCCCACAACUCAACUGUGGAAAUGCAUUCGAAACUGCCGGGCUAGAGUACUGGAGAGGAGAGCGGAAUUCUUGGUGUAGCGGUGAAAUGCGUAGAUAUCAAGAGGAACACCGGUGGCGAAGGCGGCUCUCUGGACAGAUACUGACGCUGAGGCUCUAAAGUUAGGGGAGCAAACAGGAUUAGAUACCCUGGUAGUCCUAACCUUAAACGGUGUACACUUGGUGUGCGAGGAAUUGUCCCUUUGCGCGCCGCAGCUAACGCGUUAAGUGUACCGCCUGGGGAGUACGGUCGCAAGACUAAAACUCAAAGGAAUUGACGGGGACCCGCACAAGCGGUGGAGCAUGUGGCUUAAUUCGAUGCAACACGAAGAACCUUACCUGGACUUGACAUGCAAGUGGUAGAACCCUGAAAGGGGGACGACCGUAGCAAUACGGAGCUUGCACAGGUGCUGCAUGGCUGUCAUCAGCUCGUGCCGUGAGGUGUUGGGUUAAGUCCCGCAACGAGCGCAACCCCUGUGGUUAGUUGCCCUUAUUCAGUUAGGCACUCUAGCCAGACUGCCUGUGAUAAGCAGGAGGAAGGUGGGGAUGACGUCAAGUCAGUAUGGUCCUUAUGUCCAGGGCUGCACACGUGCUACAAUGACCGGCACAGAAGGAAGCGAAACCGCGAGGUGGAGCUAAUCUCC
rnacentral:rRNA from 1 species